rnacentral:rRNA from 1 species
AGGAUUAACGCUGGCGGCGUGCCUAACACAUGCAAGUCGAACGAGGUAGCAAUACCUAGUGGCAGACGGGUGAGUAACGCGUGGUCAACCUACCGUUGAGUGGGGGAUAACUAGCCGAAAGGUUAGCUAAUACCGCAUACGAGUUUUGGGGGCAUCCCUGAUUCUUAAAAGGAGCAAUCCGCUCGAUGACGGGACCGCGUCCCAUUAGCUAGAUGGUGGGGUAACGGCCUACCAUGGCACCGAUGGGUAGCUGGUUUGAGAGAGCGACCAGCCACACUGGGACUGAGAAACGGCCCAGACUCCUACGGGAGGCAGCAGUGAGGAAUUUUCCGCAAUGGGCGAAAGCCUGACGGAGCGACGCCGCGUGUGGGAAGAAGGCCUUCGGGUCGUAAACCACUGCCGAAGGGGACGAUAAUGACGGUACCCUUGGAGGAAGCCCCGGCUAACUACGUGCCAGCAGCCGC